CUUCCCCUCACUGUUAGAAACACGCAGCGGUGACUUGGUUGUUCAGAACAGACUGUUCUCAUAAAGCUGUCCUCCUCAUCCUCCUUGCCCUGAAGCUGGGGGAAUGUUGAGUCACUGCCCAAUGGGUUUUGCACUGGUCCAAGGCGACCCAGAGCGGCUCUCCUUUACACAGCCUGUUCCAGAGCUCUGUGCCAGUUGUUUCUGAGGGAUGUUGAGAUGUGGCUGAGAUGGAAGCUCAGCACAUUCACACAGUGUUCCCAUUUUUCUCCCAUCUGAAGCCAUGGUGUACUAGAGGCUUCUCAUGGAUGCCUGUGAAGCUGAGGACCUGCUAAGCUUGCAUAGCUUAUUGGUGGUGUAGCUCAGUCUGUGAGGUUAAACCCCAGGCCAGGGUUGAAGAGUGAGCUGCAGCCCAUGACCAAGCUGGAAGCCAUACGCCAUCAUGAAGAAAACAAUGGACACAACUCCUUCUUCACAGCAAUUUUUACCUCUCAUAUACCCACGGGUUUUAUGUUGGGGUUACUGCUUUCUGUGCUUGGUGGGGCGGCAGGGACUGCUCCAGUGGGAAGGCUACCAGAGCUGGGGCAUAGCACUGACUGCGGGGAGUUAGGCCAAACACUUAUGGGGAUGGGGCCCGUAGGCCCAUGGGCUACAGAGACAAGUUUUUCUGGGCAACACCAGGCUUUGCUGUCCCUGUGAGUCUCAGUGUUACCAUCUGCAACUCUCAGUAUCUAAAUCCUCAUAUUAGCCAUUAACACUAUUCUGUGUCCAAGUACAAGACAUUUAUUCUCCUAACACUGUCAGUAGCUAAAUAUGUUAGCGGUGUGAGGCACUCCCAUGUCAUUACAGUAGGAACCAAGGGUAGAAUUAGAAAGUUUCAGAUCAGUUGUGUCUCUCGAAAUAUGACUUUGGCUUCAUGAAGGGCUCGCCCGUAUGCCGACCACCUGACUCCCCAAACUAGCUGCACCGCUUCUGC
ensembl:lncRNA